GAUGAACGCUGGCGGCGUGCCUAAUACAUGCAAGUCGAGCGAACAGACGAGGAGCUUGCUCCUCUGACGUUAGCGGCGGACGGGUGAGUAACACGUGGAUAACCUACCUAUAAGACUGGGAUAACUUCGGGAAACCGGAGCUAAUACCGGAUAAUAUAUUGAACCGCAUGGUUCAAUAGUGAAAGACGGUUUUGCUGUCACUUAUAGAUGGAUCCGCGCCGCAUUAGCUAGUUGGUAAGGUAACGGCUUACCAAGGCAACGAUGCGUAGCCGACCUGGAAGGGUGAUCGGCCACACUGGAACUGAGACACGGUCCAGACUACUACGGGAGGCAGCAGUAGGGAAUCUUCCGCAAUGGGCGAAAGCCUGACGGAGCAACGCCGCGUGAGUGAUAAAGGUCUUCGGAUCGUAAAACUCUGUUAUUAGGGAAGAACAAAUGUGUAAGUAACUAUGCACGUCUUGACGGUACCUAAUCAGAAAGCCACGGCUAACUACGUGCCAGCCGCCGCAGUAA
rnacentral:rRNA from 1 species